rnacentral:rRNA from 1 species
AUUAUUUUAAGAUUAUUUUUUAUUGUUGAAAAAAUUAAAAAUAAAUUGUUUUUAACAAAAAUUAAAAUUUAUAAUAUUUCAUUUUUUGGUUUUUUGUUUUAAAUUAAAAUAAUAAAUAUGGGGGAAAAAAAAAUUUUGUUAUAAAUUAUAUUAGUUUAUUUUAAUUAAAAAUAUUUUUUAUUAAAUUUGUUUUUUUUAUUUUUUUAUAAAAAAUAUUAAUUUAAUUAUUAUUAUUGAGUUUAAUUUAGUUAUUUUUAAAAAAAUUUUGUAUAAAAUAAAUUUGAUAAUAAAUGUUUUUUAAAUUCUUUGGGGGUUUAGUUUAUGAUUUUU